AAAUAAUCUAGUCACUCGAAUGUCAUGCCAAUUUACAGUCCACCCAUAACAAAUUCAUCCAUCUAUAUUGUAAUGUAAAUAAAUAAAUGAUGGACAACAAUGUCUAUUUGCCUUUUCUUUUUCAAGUUUGCAAAUCACCCCCCAAAACUCACUCUAACAACAAAAUUAUAUCUUGGAUUUGCUUUCCAUCAACUUAGUAUUUUUUGAGAUUUGCAAUUGUCCUUUAUGGCUCUAUGUUUUAGGCAUUAAAUCAACAAAGGCACCAUUAAAGCUUUUAUGGAAGGAUCACUUGAAAUUUCUUGAGAAAGACUAAUAUGUAUUUCCUAAUUAUUGUGUGGCUAAGCUAAAGAAAAGCUACCCAAUCCAAUGCAGGGAUUAAACUUGCAUUAUGAUUUGGUUUUGGCAACCACCUUUUUCA
rnacentral:misc_RNA from 1 species